AAAUGAAUAGACGGGGGCCCGCACAAGCAGUGGAGUAUGUGGUUUAAUUCGAAGCAACGCGAAGAACCUUACCAGGGUUUGACAUCCCUUGAAUAUGUCAGAAAUGACAUAGUCCUUCGGGACAAGGAGACAGGUGGUGCAUGGUUGUCGUCAGCUCGUGUCGUGAGAUGUUGGGUUAAGUCCCGCAACGAGCGCAACCCUUGCUAUUAGUUGCCAGCGUGAAAGACGGGCACUCUAAUGGGACUGCCGGCGAUAAGUCGGAGGAAGGUGGGGACGACGUCAAAUCAUCAUGCCCCUUAUAUUCUGGGCUACACACGUACUACAAUGACUGCAACAGAGGGAAGCGAAGCCGCAAGGUGGAGCCAAUCCCGAAAAACAGUCCCAGUUCGGAUUGUGGGCUGCAACUCGCCCGCAUGAAGUCGGAAUUGCUAGUAAUGGCAGGUCAGCAUACUGCCGUGAAUACGUUCCCGGGCCUUGUACACACCGCCCGU
rnacentral:rRNA from 1 species